AUUGAACGCUGGCGGCAGGCCUAACACAUGCAAGUCGAACGGUAGCACAGAGAGCUUGCUCUCGGGUGACGAGUGGCGGACGGGUGAGUAAUGUCUGGGAAACUGCCCGAUGGAGGGGGAUAACUACUGGAAACGGUAGCUAAUACCGCAUAACGUCGCAAGACCAAAGUGGGGGACCUUCGGGCCUCACACCAUCGGAUGCGCCCAGAUGGGAUUAGCUAGUAGGUGGGGUAAUGGCUCACCUAGGCGACGAUCCCUAGCUGGUCUGAGAGGAUGACCAGCCACACUGGAACUGAGACACGGUCCAGACUCCUACGGGAGGCAGCAGUGGGGAAUAUUGCACAAUGGGCGCAAGCCUGAUGCAGCCAUGCCGCGUGUAUGAAGAAGGCCUUCGGGUUGUAAAGUACUUUCAGCGGGGAGGAAGGCGGUGAAGUUAAUAACUUCACCGAUUGACGUUACCCGCAGAAGAAGCACCGGCUAACUCUGUGCCAGCCGCCGCCGUAA
rnacentral:rRNA from 1 species